rnacentral:rRNA from 1 species
UAGGGAAUCUUCCACAAUGGACGAAAGUCUGAUGGAGCAACGCCGCGUGAGUGAAGAAGGGUUUCGGCUCGUAAAACUCUGUUGUUAAAGAAGAACAUAUCUGAGAGUAACUGUUCAGGUAUUGACGGUAUUUAACCAGAAAGCCACGGCUAACUACUUGCCAA